rnacentral:rRNA from 1 species
ACGGGGGAWUGCCUCAGUAACGGCGAGUGAAGCGGCAAAAGCUCAAAUUUGAAAUCUGGCACCUUUGGUGUCCGAGUUGUAAUUUGAAGAAGGUAACUUUGGAGUUGGCUCUUGUCUAUGUUCCUUGGAACAGGACGUCACAGAGGGUGAGAAUCCCGUGCGAUGAGAUGCCCAAUUCUAUGUAAAGUGCUUUCGAAGAGUCGAGUUGUUUGGGAAUGCAGCUCUAAGUGGGUGGUAAAUUCCAUCUAAAGCUAAAUAUUGGCGAGAGACCGAUAGCGAACAAGUACAGUGAUGGAAAGAUGAAAAGAACUUUGAAAAGAGAGUGAAAAAGUACGUGAAAUUGUUGAAAGGGAAGGGCUUGAGAUCAGACUUGGUAUUUUGCAAGCUUUACCUUCGUGGUGGAGUCCCCUGCAGUUUACUGGGCCAGCAUCGGUUUGGAUGGUAGGAUAAUGACUUGGGAAUGUGGCUUUGCUUCGGUAAAGUGUUAUAGCCCUUGUUGAUGCUACCUGUCUAGACCGAGGACUGCGUCUUUGACUAGGAUGUUGGCAUAAUGAUCUUAAGUCGCCCGUCUUGAAAMMMCGGACACCA